rnacentral:rRNA from 1 species
GAGAUUCUAGUCUUAUCGGGUGGAUCACUCGGCUCGU